GCCGAAAUAGCUCAAUAGGUAGAGCAACUGAUUUGUAAUCAGUAGGUUCCGGGUUCGAUUCCUGGUUUCGGCA
rnacentral:tRNA from 1 species